CAGUGGCUACGUGUGCGGGUGACUCCUCCGUGAGUCUCCACCACCCAUGUGCUGCUUCUCGCAGACACCGCCCGUCUGUCGCACUCCCCAGCAAGAUUCUCAAGCACCUGGCAGGAGUUUCUGCUGGAAAAGCUCUGGCCCAGAUGCACCCCUCAGCGAGUUUCUCGGCCAACAGCUGAAGCUCAGACCCAGAGGGUCACGAGUCCAAGACCCCAGAGCCUCCAUGGCCUGCUGUGGAGGAGAGAAUCCGAAGGUCCAAGGACAGGGGCAAUCCUUUGCAAAGAUCAACAGAAGCCUUUGCUCUUACCUAACCUGGCCAGCAGUACACCGUCCCAGCUCCCUGACUCGGAGUGCCUGCCGCAGAUCUUCAUCGCCUGGCGUCCUCGAACAUCACACUGAUCCACUGAUGCACACUAAUCGGAUCCGAGUGAGACAGCAAAGGUCCCCUUGUCUCCCUCGCAGGGCGUGCAACAGGCGGAGUGGCUUACCUCUUCAGCGCCCCACUGCUCAAACCUCUGGGGGAGCAUACAGACGGGCAGUGUCUAGCAGUGGAUGUUUAUAGCUCCGGAGGCCCCAGAGGGCGUGUGUUACAGGGUGCUCUUUUAGUUUAGCCGUCUGUAGGCGGCUUGUGUUAACCAGCUCAAUUAGACGCCCUUCCUUAUCACAAGGACAGAAGGCUUUCUGUAUCCCAGGUGCUUGCCUUGGUGGACCGGAAGAAUCGGAUCAUGUCUGGGCCUGGAGAAUGGGUGCAAGGUUUUAUUGAGUGCAGGUAGCUGUCAGCAGACGGGGGAAGCCAGAAGGGGAUGGAGUGGGAGGGUUUUCCCCUGGAGUCGGACCACUGAGCAGCCCGGGCCCUCUCCAAUCGUCCUGGCCAAACUCCACCCCAUUUCAUGGUCAGUGUCCUCCCAGAGCACCAGCAUGCUCUCCUCCACACUCUCUUGAUGUCCUGCCAGUGUGUUGCUCUUGACGUCCAGCCACUUGUGUGUCUGCCUGCUAGAGUCUUGGGGAUUUUAUAGGCACAGGAUGGGGGCGUGGCAGGCCAGGGUGGUCUUUGGAAGUGCAACAUUUGGGCAGGAGAACAAAAAUCCCUGUCCUCACCUAGGUUUGUGGGCACAGGCGGUGGGGGAAUCCCUAGCCAGGGACCACGCCUUCUCUACCCAGCUCUUCCCCCUGCAUGAGGAGCAGGGAGUAGCAAGUCUUUUUCUUUUUCCCAACAUCCCCAUGAACACCAAGGAAAAAGUACUGCAGAUGUCUUAGUGAGACAAAUCAGAGGGUGGGAGAUGAACCCAACAAAAAUUCAGGGGCCCCCUCACCUCGGUGAAGGUUCUGGAGUCCAAAGGUUUGGAACAGGUGAUAAUUACUCUCCUUUUGAUGUUAUUUGUUAUAUUUUUUGUAGAGACGGGGGUCUUGCUAUGUUGCCGGGCUGGUCUUGAACUCCUGGCCUCAAGCCAUCCUCGGCUGAGUGCUUUUCUAUGACACUUAGGGAAUGCUGGGGAACCACAGCCAGGAUACUCAGGCGGGAACCAGGGGCUGGAAGCGGGUGGCUUCUCCCUUUUAUCCCUUAUCCCCCUUUGCGUGUUUCUUACCCCCCAGGGAAGAAUGCUUCUGUGGGGGACGCAGCCAUGAUUCCUUGGAAGGAGAAGUUGAGCCUGGCCAUGCUGGGCUCCUCCUGGCACUGAUCCACAGACAGGGAGCAGCGCAGUGGAAGAGGGGAGAUCCCAGGGCUGAAAGGCUGGGUGAAGGGGCGCUGCUGGGUGCAUUUCAGGGAACACUUCAAAGUGCAAAACGGCUGGGCGCGGUGGCUCACGCCGGUAAUCCCAGCACUUUGGGAGGCCGAGGUGGAUGGAUCACAAGGUCAGGAGUUCAAGACCAGCCUGGCCAAUAUGGUGAAACC